CGUCCUCAAGUCAUCUUCAAUCCCUCCCUCACCUCAAGUAGUCCAGUCUCAAGAACUACUCCUCUAUAAGAAAUCUCAGUUCUUCCCAAAAUACUAUAGCAGUUAGCCCUGUUCAUCUUCAGCUGCGUAUGAAGUUUCGAUUAGCUGACUGAGGUCCCCCACUAAAGGAAACGGCACUAGAGCUUGAUAAUGGCGAGCGUGAUGGGACCCUACCUCAAAAUCACUGGUAAAUCUGAAUCCAUAUCCAUUAAUUGGUAUACGUGUUUAUCUUUUGUUGAAUUCAAAAAUAAAAAACUCUUUUCUCUUGUACUCUUUUCUUGACAGCCAAACUAAGCCUAAAAGCUCUAUCUUUUCGUAGAAUUAUUUCUGAACAAAAUAAGAAGCAAAAUCAAACACCCAAUUUCCUUUCCUCGAAGAAAUUGUAACCAUGCUUUGUUACCAUGCAUAUGCGAAUACGUACAGAGCUUAAUUUUCCCAAAACAUCUAGCUGAGCAGGGAAGAUUGAAGAUCCUCGCUGUAGCUCUGUAAGAAGGAUAAUGAAAUAGCGGAAAGCUGGCCCAAUCAGGUGCAAAGGAUUCCUGUCCAAAUCAUAAGAUAUGCCAAAGUGACAAGAACCCUCUUAAUUAAUUAGGCCUUUGGAAGUAGACCAUCUUCAUAGGAGAAGAGAAAUGAAAAGGAUAUAACAACAACUGCUUAGUGCAGUUGGUGAGCUGUGGUGUGUAUAAAACCCAUGCUCACUAGGAGGUCUCGAGUUCGAGUCUCCUAGCUGUUACCUACUUCCCUCCCUACCUAUAAAAAAAUAAAA